UUUAUAAUAGAUUGGUUGUUUAUUUGUCUUAAGUAUGUUGCAAUGAUUUUUUCUAAUAGGUUGGUUGUUUAUUUGUCUUACAUAUGUUGCAAAGAAGUUUCAUAAUAAAUUGGUUGUAUAUUUGUCUUACGUUUGUUGCAAAAAGUUUUUAUAAAAGAAUGGCUGUUUAUUUGUCUUAGGUAUGAUGCAAAGAAAAUAUUUAAUAGAAAGAAAUUUUAUAAUAGAUAGGUCGCUUAUUUGCCUUACAUAUGUUGCAAUAAAACUUCAUAAUCAAUUGGUUGUUUACUUGUGUUAGUUUUAGGAAUGAUGCUUAGAAGUUUUAUAUUGGGUUAGUUGUUUUUUUGUCUUACAAAUGUUGCAAAGAAGUUUUAUAAUAGAUUGGUUGUUUAUUUG